rnacentral:rRNA from 1 species
CAUGAGGACGAAGUGACUGACACCACGCUUCCAGGAAAAGCCACUAAGCUUCAGCUUAAGAAAAACCGUACCGCAAACCGACACAGGUAGGCAGGGUGAGAAUCCCAAGGCGCUUGAGAGAACUCGGGUGAAGGAACUAGGCAAAAUGGCACCGUAACUUCGGGAGAAGGUGCGCCCUUUGGUGUGGUCACGUGCGUGACUGAGCAUCGAAGGGUCGCAGUAACCUGGCCGCUGCGACUGUUUAUCAAAAACACAGCACUCUGCAAACACGAAAGUGGACGUAUAGGGUGUGACGCCUGCCCGGUGCUGGAAGGUUAAUUGAUGGGGUCAGCCGCAAGGCGAAGCUCUUGAUCGAAGCCCCAGUAAACGGCGGCCGUAACAAUAACGGUCCUAAGGUAGCGAAAUUCCUUGUCGGGUAAGUUCCGACCUGCACGAAUGGCGUAACGACAGCGGCGCUGUCUCCACCCGAGACUCAGUGAAAUUGAAAUCGCUGUGAAGAUGCAGCGUUCCCGCGGCAAGACGGAAAGACCCCGUGAACCUUUACUAUAGCUUUACACUGAACGUUGAGUUCUUCUGUGUAGGAUAGGUGGGAGGCUAUGAAACCAGGACGCUAGUUCUGGUGGAGCCAUCCUUGAAAUACCACCCUGAAGUGCUUGACGUUCUAACCUAGGCCCGUAAUCCGGGUCAGGGACCGUGUAUGGUGGGUAGUUUGACUGGGGCGGUCUCCUCCCAAAGAGUAACGGAGGAGCACGAAGGUACGCUCAGCGCGGUCGGACAUCGCGCACUGUGUGCAAAGGCAUAAGCGUGCUUGACUGCGAGAUCGACGGAUCAAGCAGGUACGAAAGUAGGUCUUAGUGAUCCGGUGGUUCUGUAUGGAAGGGCCAUCGCUCAACGGAUAAAAGGUACUCCGGGAUAACAGGCUGAUACCGCCCAAGAGUUCAUAUCGACGGCGGUGUUUGGCACCUCGAUGUCGGCUCAUCACAUCCUGGGGCUGUAGCCGGUCCCAAGGGUAUGGCUGUUCGCCAUUUAAAGUGGUACGCGAGCUGGGUUCAGAACGUCGUGAGACAGUUCGGUCCCUAUCUGUCGUGGGCGUUGGAGAUUUGAGGGGGGCUGCUCCUAGUACGAGAGGACCGGAGUGGACGUUCCGCUGGUGUUCGGGUUGUCAUGCCCAUGGCAUUGCCCGGUAGCUACGAACGGAAGUGAUAACCGCUGAAAGCAUCUAAGCGGGAAGCACGCCCCAAGAUGAGAUCUCCCGAGAGCUUGACUCUCCUAAAGGCACCAUCAAGACUAGGUGGUUGAUAGGUCAGGUGUGGAAGCGCAGCAAUGCGUUGAGCUAACUGAUACUAAUGAGCCGUGAGGCUUGAUC